CACGUAGGGUGCGAGCGUUGUCCGGAAUUAUUGGGCGUAAAGAGCUCGUAGGCGGUGUGUCGCGUCGGCCGUGAAAACCUGCAGCUUAACUGUGGGCGUGCGGUCGAUACGGGCAUCACUGGAGUUCGGCAGGGGGAGACUGGAAUUCCUGGUGUAGCGGUGAAAUGCGCAGAUAUCAGGAGGAACACCGGGUGGCGAAGGCGGGGUCUCUGGGGCAACAACUGACG
rnacentral:rRNA from 1 species